GACUGUACAAAGGUAGCAUAAUCAUUUGUCUUUUAAUUGAGGUCUGGAAUGAAUGGUCGGAUGAGAAAUAUACUUUUUUUAUUUUAUAAGAAAAAAUUGAUUUUUGAGUUAAAAAGCUUAAAUUCUUUUAUGGGACGAGAAGACCCUAUAGAAUUUUAUUUUGAAAAUAUAUAUGUUUUUAUAGUUUGUUUUUGGAUGUAUAUAUAAUAUAAAUUUUGUUGGGGUGACAAAAAAAAUUUUAUAACUUUUUUUAUUUUUUACAUUAUUUUAUGUUUAAUUUGAUCCUUUUUUUUGAAAAAAGAACAAAUUACCUUAGGGAUAACAGCGUUAUUAUUUUGGAGAGUUCAUAUUGAUGAAAUAGUUUGCGACCUCGAUGUUGGAUUAAAAUAAAGUAUAGGGGUAGAAUAUUAUAUUUUGGGUCUGUUCAACCGAUAAGUUUUUACA
rnacentral:rRNA from 1 species